AUAUUUUGGAUAUAAGGCCUCUAUCUGUUGUAGGAUUGGUAAAGAUCUUUUCCCAAUCUGUUGGUUGCCGUUUUGUCCUAACCACAGUGUCCUUUGCCUUACAGAAGCUUUGCAGUUUUAUGAGAUCCCAUUUGUCGGAGAAUCAUCUUCUUAAAGACUUUUAAAAUAUUCUUUUGUUUUUUAAGAGGAUGACUAGAUUAAUCUGAAGGAACAAGUGCACUUUGCCGAUAGUGUGGCAUUUGUCACAGAAGCUGAGAUGUAGGGAAAGCUUUAGUGUCAACGGAUGGAUGGAUAAAGAACAAGUCGGGGAAAGUCAGGAUUUCAGCUUCAAGAAUGGAAGAAAUACAGGUUCUCAAAGAAUAUACACAGGCUGGACCUAGGCCUUCCUGCACUUACACAGCAGAUGUUCAGCUUGGUCUUCAUAAGGAUCCUGGUGUCUGCGCGUCGUUCCUGCUGGCGAGACGUUGGGCGCACGAUAUUUGGUGCCGAAACCCGGGACAAAUGCCACACCAUCGCCGGCGCCAAGGAGAGCCUCCAUUCGCGGAGACGGUCCAGAACUGCAGGUCGAGAGAAACAGACAAGCUUAGCCCCUCUGAGGAAGAGGAUUUACAAGAUGAGGCAGCUUGCUAUGAAGAAGAAAGAUAUGGGCCUAGGUGGAGAGCCACUGUGAAGAAACCGAAAGUUAUGGAUCCUUUGUGGACAAGGCUGGUAAUUUUGUUUAUUUUUUUCUUUGUGUGGGAAGCCAUUAGGACAGGUCAGAGAAUCCUUGCAGAGCAGCAAGAAAGUAUGUCGGAGGGAGAAAAGGUCUCGAAAGAAAAAAAGAAAAGAAAAGGAGAUAAAAGGAACACAGUAUUUUGGGAGAAAAAUUUUGUCUUUGUGCUUGUAAAAGGUGUGAUUAGGCUCUGGAAACUUCACAGAGUCAUACUGAUCAGAUUUGAUCGAGGUAGACCACCUGAAACAUUUAUUCAGGAGAAUCAAACAAAAAGAUAUCUCAAUUCUCAACGCCCAUGCACAGCUUGAUGGAGUUAAUGUAAUUGAGUUGUGAGUGGAAAUAUUCAGGACUGUGUUUUACUUCCAUACCAUUUGUGAAUGUCAGUCGUGCUGCUCAGAUAUCCCGUAAUAUAUCUCAGUAUCUUACAGGAAUUUGGUCUCAACACGUUGAUGGACUAGUCCAGGAAUUGAGACAAUCCAUCGUCCAUAUCAACUCCACUCGAGUGGAGUGUCACCGUGGAAGUGGUGGGAAAGGGGAAAUCCUACCUCUCUGCUGACUCCUAUUGGAAUCUGGGUCCCUUUCGUGGGACAUCAUCUAGUUUUUCCCCUCUGUCUAUUGUCUGUCCUUGGUGCACCAAGCUGUCCAUGUAUGUCAGUUUAUGUCUGUGGUUCUUGUUUCUCGUUAUUUAAAUGUUUUAUGUUUCAUGUUCAAAAGAAAAAAUAGUAAAAACUUUAUCUGCUGGUCGUUCAGACCUUGACUUGGUUUUAACUCGUUUCAAAAAGGAACAAAUGAAUAAAAAACAGUUUCAAUCAGGCCUUUAGAGCCCUGCACCUGUAGCUAGGAACAUAGGUCAGCUGGAGAAGCUGCCCAGAAGCUAAGCGUCUGCACGAGGUGAUCUUAAAGGCUCCAGCAGCUUCUCAGCUUCUUUGGUACAAGAGCUGCGAGCUGUUUCUCUUAGAGAAAUCCCUGACUUAUUAUUUGACUCAACAGGUGACAAGGUGCUUCUCUUAAAAUCAUAGCUAAAAAGGUAAAAAUGGUGUUUGGUCUAAAUAUUAAAGAUAUGUGUAGCCACUUCAAUUUGUUUCUGAUUGGUUUUAAAUGUGUAAAUAUGCUCUACUUGCCUUGGUCAUAGAUUGUUGGCUUUUUAGUUAUUGGAUAUGGUUAAAAAGGUAUAAUAUUGGUAACAGAAAGUUGACAUAAAACUGGUAAUUUGGAUGGAGUCAUUUCUAGACAACAUGUGGCAUGAGCCAACCCAGGGAAACAGGUCUAAAUUGAGAUAAUAUUUUUAUGGAAUUCUUAUCCUAGAAACCAGGCUUCUAAAAGAAUUUAGGACAAUGUCUCUUUGUUGAGGUACUAGAGACUACGCCAUCGUGUGUUCAUAUAUAGGAAUUGGCAGUCAAACAUUGUACUAAUUUGUUGGAGGUCGAGUUUUGCUUUCCAAAGUUGUGGUUUUCCCUGAAGCUAUCGGUAUUUUAAUGCUAAUUCCACUGCCCCAAGGACAGCUGCCUAGUCAUGUACUCAGAACGCAGGUGACCUUGUGGUUGUGCUCUGUUGUUACAAGGAGAAUUUAAGGUUUGUGAUUUAGGAUUGCCAGUGUUACAUUGACUAACUCAAACUUAUUUUUAAUUAAGAAAAAAUCAAACAGGUAGAGAUUGUUACAAGAUUUAUGAAGGAUUGAUGAGGUUUUUGGAACUUGUGAGAACAUUACAGCCAGUUUACUUACUCCAACUGCCAUUUCAAGAUAGAUUUAGAGGAUUGAUUUUGAGGUUUCAUUUCGUGAGCCUGCUUAUAAUUUUAGAGAGCCCAUAGAGUGAUAUCAUUAAGAAUGGCUAAUAGCCUUAUAUUAUGUAAUUUUGUUGCUUCUUCGAUGUAAGAAGUUAGAACCUUGAAUCUUUCAGUGUAUAUGGAAAUUUUUACUACAAACCUUUGCUCUCAAAAUGAGCUUUAAUAUUUGGGGAGUAGCUGUUGCACUACUCCAGAAAAGAAUAUUUGAAACUAAUUUCAAGCUUCUAAGGAUAUGUUAAUUGGCUAAGUACCUCACCCUACCAGAGGACUUAGGUCUUUGUUAUGCACAUUGGAGAUAAAGCUUCAGCUGUGUUAAUACAGAAUUGUAGACUAGAGUCAUGGAAGUAUUUUAAAAAGAAACCUGGUGAAACAUAUCUUAUUCCAAACAACAGUUAAUUGGUUAUUACAAAAUACUGAUAUUUGGCCUAUUACAUAUACAAAUUUUUCAGGCAAAAUUGAUAAUUUUACUCUUUACAUGCUUUUGUACUUCCUGUAUAUUUGUGCAUACAACCCAUAGGAAAUGCGCUUAGUGCAUUUAUAGGCGGUUCAUCUAAUGAAAAGGCUACAUGUAUGAUUGGAUCACUUGUUUAUUCUCUUGAGUUUCUGUUGCUUCAGUACAUUAUUAAAUUCCGUAGUUUAGCCACUGUUUUUAAAUCAAGCUUUCAAUUCAUAUACUGAUAGCCAAUGUGUAGCUUGUGAUUUACAAUUGAUUUCAAUUACUUAAUGCUUUAUUAGAGACAGGUUUUCUACUUAAAAUCAGUGAGUGAUUUCAGUGUGAAUUGUCUGACAACUCACUGUCCUUUCAGUGCCCUGGCUCAGACAACUAAACAAAACCAUAGACCCAGCUCUUUGAAAAUGAUAAUGGAGUUGAUAUGAAAAGAGGAAGACUCCAUUUGCUUGCUUUCAAUUCCCAGCCUCACCCUGCCAGCUCAGGGAUUUCUAGUAAGACUGAAAUUGGACAAUAUUUACAAGAUUUGACAUUUCUAAUUAAUGCUUAUGUUUAGGUAAAUAAAGUUUGUGAGGUGCUAGAGAAAUGGCUUAGUGGUUAAGAGCACUAAGUACUGUUCCUUUAUAGGACAUUUAAGAACUCAAACUGGAUUGCCUGGGCUCUUUAGCAAGGGAGGACAUUGAUACCAGACAGAUUAUAGGCCUUACAUAGGAACAAUUAGUCAAAAAAUCUCAUUCUUUAUAUAUCCAAAACAAUAAUGCUGGAGACAAUAAUUUGAUAUACAAGUCAAUUUAUAAAUACAAGUGCUCAGUGUCCUCAAUUUAAUCCUCGAGGACUUACCUUAAUAAAUAAUAUCCUUACUAUAUCUUAAUAAAUAAAUAGGGAGAGUUAUCCCUGUAUGCUAAAUGAUGCUCCUUUUAUUUCAAUUUUAAAAUUUGGAUGCCAAAGUUUAUGGCACCCUACAACUAGGCAUACUUCUGCCUAGGUGAAAUAGAGAGAUCCACAUAUUGACAUCAUCCUGUCCAGAUAUUUUAUAUGGGGAAGAGGGAAUGCUUGUGUUUUUUCUACAGGAUGCUACAAGAGUGUGCCAGCUGCCUGAGUGGUUGGUGAGACUUGUUGAUCCUGGUUGCAUAAAGAUUCAGCUCUCCUGGUUCGGGUCCCUGGAAUCAUUCCUCUGCCCCGAGAGGAAGAUGGAAGAUUCCCCUUCACCUUUUGUCAUCAGAGAUUUUGGCAUUGCUGCAGUCAGUGUUACCGCUGCGUGUGUCCCGUCCCGCUCUCUGACCCUCUGUGCACUGCUGCUUGCUGAAGAAGACUGAACUCCAGCCGUUGCUGCCCCCCUCAUUUUCCCUGGUGACUCUUGCUGCCUUAACUGGUCAUUUUGCAAUCUGUAGCUUCACAGGAAUGCCACCUGCGUAAAGCUGCUGUGGACUGGGGAACUCUGCCCUGGUUGUACAGAUCUCAGAAAUGGUUCCAUUGUCUGCUGGUUGUUCCAGAGAAAAAUGACUAAUCCUGAACUGUCCUGGAAAAGACCUUGACACCUUCGCUGCUAUUGUAGCAGCCAUUACUGCUGCAGACAUUGUGUCUGCAGUGUCUGGAGUUAUCCUCCCCCAAUCUAUUGUUAGACAAGCACAGUGGGUGAACUUUCUGGAGUAGUUACUAACAAUUGGGAAUUCUAAAUUCUAUUAUAGGAGUGGCUUGACUACAGCCCUUGGUGGUAACAGCUGAGGAGAACCAUAUGAGGUGCCCACUACUUAUCGGGAGUGGCUCUGUUUGGUGCAGCCCUAUGCUGUGGAUUAGUGUUCAUGCUAUGGUUGGUUUGCAAACUCAGAUCUCAACAGAAACGUGACAAGGCCGUUAUCACUCAAGCACUUGUGGCCAUUGUACAAGGGGCCUUCCCUGGAAUUUGGUUAUCUAUGCUCAGGAAUUAGUCGGUUGUAGAGGGCCGCAAUACGUUCGCCACCACUAGAUGGCGCUGUCUUCCACUGUGCCCCACGUGGUAGGUCAGGAUAGACUCCGCCAUUACAAGAUGGCGCCAACCUUCGCUGCGCCAGCCGGUCCCCCCUUUUCAGGUAGUUAACUGUGCGCAUGUGCAAGAGUGCCUUCGUGCCAGGUCUUUGCCCACUCCGGGGCGUGCCUUAUGAGAUCAUGGGUAACAACCAAUCAGGUGUGGGUGCGCUGCACGAGGGUUUUAUAAGCGCCCCCAUGUUGGCGCGGCGUGGCUUUUCCUCUUCUAAGAUUAAUAAAGUGGUCACAGUAAGGAUUUCUAAUGUCCCCAUGCUCCUUGCCGGCGAAAAGUCGCGCGCGGGACAUUUGGUGCCGAGAAUCCGGGACACAAAAAAGCUACAACAUCGCCGGUGCCAAGAGGAAGCCUCCGUUUCACGGAAGAAAUCCAGAAGCUGUGGAAUGCAGGUAAAAAGAACUCUGAGAGACAAUGCUUAGCCCUGAUCUGCUCAAGCUCAGUCCCCUGCCGGACGCGGCAGGUGCUGCUAUGGUUGCUCUGGCAGCCCUCGAGUUGUUUCUAUUGACCUUUGAGUUUCUAGCUACCGCCAAAAGGUGUCAGAGGUCGCGUGGGAACUGCCCAGCUGUAACAGCAAAGCGGAGAGUGUUGGGGGAAGGGGGAAAAUCGUCAGAAACAGAGGAUAGUGAAAAGUUGCAACGAAAUGAUUGAUCUCAAGCACCAGGCCCCCCUGCGGUCUUACCACCGCCAGGGGUGAAAAAUUGGGGAAAGAAUGCCCCGGGUGAGAAGGGAGGAGGUAAAAGGAACACAGUAUUUUGGGAGAAAAACUUUGUCUUAGUGCUUAUGAAAGGUGUAAUUAAGCUCCCGCGCCAGCUCUGGGGACGCUGCGGCGUCCGGGCGCUGACGAGACAGCUUUACAGAAUCAUACUGAUCAGAUUUGAUAGAGGCAGACUGCCUGAAAAUUUAUUCAGGAGAAUCAAACAAAAGGACAUCUCAGUGCCCGUGCACAGCCUGAUAGAGUUAAUGUAAUUGGGUUGUGAGUAAAAAUACUCAGGGCCGUGUUUCACUUCCAUACCAUUGGCGAAUGUCGGUCAUACUGUUCAGAUAAUAUCUCUCAGUGUCUUACAGAAUUGGGUUUCAACACGUUGGUGGACUAGUCCAGGAAUUGAGACAAUCCAUCGCCCAUAUCAGCUACACUCGAGUGGAUAGUCGCCGUGAACACCAUCUGGCUUUUUCCCCUCUUUGUCUAUUGUUUGUCUCUGGUGCAUCAGGAUGUCCCCAUGUCUGUCAGUGUAUGUCUGUGGUUUUUGUUUCUCAUUGUCUAAAAGUUUUAUGUUUCAUGUUCAAAAGAAAAAAUGGUAAAAACUUUAUCUGCCGGUCAUGCACACCUUGACUUGGUUUUAACUCGUUUCAAAAAGGAACAAAUGAAUAAUUGUACAUCCAAAUGUAAGAAUUGACAGUCAAACUUUGUAACAUAAUAGAUAGACCUGGGGUGCCUUGGAGACUAGAUUGUUUGUUGGAGGUUGAGUUUUACUUUCCAAAGUUGUGGCUUGCCCUGAAGUUAUCUGUAUUCUAAUGCUAAUUUCCACUGCCCCGAGAACAGCUGCCUAGUCACGUACUCAGAACUCAGGUGACCUCGUGGCUAUGUUCUGGUGUUACAAAGAGAACUUAAAGAUUGUGAUUUAGGAUUGCCAGUGUUACGUUGACUAACUCAAACUUAUUUUUAAUUAAGGAAAAAUCAAACAGGUAGAGAUUGUUACAGGAUUUAUAAGGAUUGAUGAGGUUUUAGAACUUGUGAGAGCAUUACAGCCAGUUUCCUUACUCCAACUGCCAUUUCAAGACAGAUUUAGAGGAUUGAUUUUAUACAAUUUGUUUUCGUCAUAACAAUUGUGAGUUUUCAUUUCGUGAGCUUGCUUAUAGUUUUAGAGAGCCCAUAAAGUGAUAUCAUUAAGAAUGGCUAACAGCCUCAUAUUAGGUAAUUUUGUUGCUUCUUCAGUGUAAGAAGUUAGAACUUAAAUCUUUCAAUGUACAUGGAAAUUUUUAUUACAAACCUUUGCUCUCAAAAUGAGCUUUAAUAUUUGGGGAGUAGCUGUUACACUACUCCAGAUAAGAAUAUUUAAAGCUAAUUUUAAGCUUCUAAAGAUAUGUUAAUUGGCUAAGUACCUCACCUUACCAGAGGACUUAGGUCUUUGUUAUGCACAUUGGAGAUAAAGCUUCAGCUGUGUUAGUACAGAGUUCUGGACUGGAGUCAUGGAAGUAUUUUAAAUAGAAACCUGGUAAAACAUAUCUUAUUCCAAACAACAGUUAAUUGGUUACUACUAAAUACUGAUAUUUGGCCUAUUACAUAUACAAAUUUUUCAGACAAAAUUGAUAAUUUUACUCUUUACAUGCUUUUGAACUUCCUACAUAUUUGUGCAUACAACCCAUAGGAAAUGCGCUUAGUACAUUUAUAGGUGGUUCAUCUAAUGAAAAGGCUACAUGUAUGAUUGGAUCACUUGUUUAUUCUCUUGAAUUUCUAUUGCUUCAACACAGAUUAUUAAAUUCCAUGCUUUAGCCGCUGUUUUUAAAAUGUUAAAAAAUCAAGCUUUCUAUUCAUAUACUGAUAGCCAAUGUGUGGCUUGUGGUUUACAAUUGAUUUCAAUUUCUUAAUGCUUUAUUAGAGGCAAGUUUUCUACAUGAAAUCAGUGAGUGAUUUCAGUGUAAAUGUCUGACAACUCACUGUCCCUUCAGUGCUCUGGCUCAGACAACUAAACAUAACCACAGACCCAGCUCUUUAAAAAUGGUAAUAGAGUUGAUAACACACCCUCACGAAAAGAGGAAGAUUCCAUUUGUUUACUUUCAACUCCCAGCUUCACCCUGCCAGCUCAGAGAUUUCUAGGAAGACUGAAUCUGGACAAUAUUUACAAGAUUUGACAUUUCUAAUUAAUGCUUAUGUUUAGGUAAAUAAAGUUUGUGAGGUGCUAGAGAGAUGGCUUAGUGGUUAAGUACACUAAGCUGUUACUUUAUAGGACAUUUAAGAACUCAAACUAGAUUGCCUGGGCUCCUUAACAAGGGAGGACAAGAUUGCAGACAGAUUAUAGGCCUUACAUAAGAACAAUUAGUCAAAAAAUCUCAUUCUUUAUAUAUCCAAAACAAUAAUGCUGGAAACGAUAAUUUGGUAUACAAGUUAAUUUAUAAAUACAAGUGCUCAGUGUCCUCAACUUAAUACUCGAGGACUUACCUUAAUAAAUAAUAUCUUUACUAUAUCUUUAUAAAUAAAAAGGGGGAGUUAUCCAUGUAUGCUAAAUAAUGCUCCUUUUAUUUCAAUUUUAAAAAUUUGGAUGCCAAAGUUUAUGGCACCCUACAACUAGGCAUACUUCUGCCUAGGUGAAAUAGAGAGAUCCACUUAUUGACAUGUUCCUGUCUAGAUAUUUUAUAUGGGGAAGAGGGAAUGUUUGUGUUUUUUCUACAGGAUGCUGCAGGAGUGUGCCAGCUGCCUGAGUGUCUGGUGAGACAUGCUGAUCCUGGGAGCAUGAAGAUUCAGCUCUCCUGGUUCGGGUCCCUGGAGUCAUUCCUCUGCCCUGAGAGGAAGAUAGAAGAUUCCCCUUCAUCUUUUGUCAUCACAGAGAUUUUGCCGUUGCUGCAGUCAGUGUUACCGCUGCGUGUGUUCCCGUCCCAUUGUGGCCUACACUCAGACUCUGUACACUGCUGCUUCCUGGAGAAGACUGGACUCCAGCUGUUACCCCUGUCCCUUCAUUUCCCUGGUGACUCUUGCUGCCUUAACUGGUAACUGGUGUUGUCAUUUUACAGACUGUAGCUUCACAGAAAGCCACCUGUAUAAAGCUACAGUGACUGGAGAACUCUGUCCUGGUUAUACAGAUCUCAGAAAUGGUUCCAUUGUCUGCUGGUUGUUCCAGAGAAGAAUGACUGAUCCUGAACUGUCCUUGAAAAGACCUUGACACUUUCGCUGCUAUUGUAGCAGCCAUUACUGCUGCAGACAUUGUGUCUGCAGUGUCUGGAGUUAUCCUCCCCCAAUCUAUUGUUAGACAAGCACAGUGGGUGAACUUUCUGGAGUAGUUACUAACAAUUGGGAAUUCUAAAUUUUAUUAUAAGAGCAGCUUGACUACGGUCCUUGGUGGUAACAGCUGAGGAGGACCAUAUGAGGUGCCCACUACUUAUCGGGAGUGGCUCUGUUUGAUGCAGCCCUAUGCUGUGGAUCAGUAUUCAUACCAUGGUUGGUUUACAAACUCAGAUCUCAACAGAAACGUGACAAGGCCGUUAUCACUCAAGCACCUGUGGCCAUUGUACAAAGGGCCUCACCUGGAAUUUGGUUAUCUAGUUCAGGAUUUACUCUGUAUCUGAGUUCCCUGCUCCUGCACCCCAUGGAUCUGUGGGUCCAUUGCACUGGGAGGAGAGGGAUACUCUCUGUAUCUGAGUUCUCUGCUCCUGCACCCCAUGGAUCUGUGGAUCCAUUGCACUGGGAUUGAGAGAGACUCAGUGUUCCUUUGAUCAGCCCUUGCACAUCGCUGAGGUUUCCUCAUUGCACGCGAUAGGGUGAUCAUUUCUGCUAUAAAAUUAUAUAAAUUAUAAGGGUGAGAUGUAGAGGGCCGCAAUACGUUCGUCACCACUAGAUGGCGCUGUCUUCCAUUGCGCCCCACGUGGUAGGUCAGGAUAGACUCCGCCAUUACAAGAUGGCGCCAACCUUCGCCGCGCCAGCCGGCCCCCCCUUUUCAGGUAGUUAACUGUGCGCAUGUGCAAGAGUGCCUUCUUGCCAGGUCUUUGCCCACUCCGGGGCGUGCCUUAUGAGAUCAUGGGUAACAACCAACCAGGUGUGGGUGCGCUGCAUGAAGGUUUUAUAAGCGCCCCCAUGUUGGCGCGGCGUGGCUUUUCCUCUUCUAAGAUUAAUAAAGUGGUCACAGUAAGGAUUUCUAAUGUCCCCAUGCUCCUUGCUGGCGAAAAGUCGCGCGCGGGACAGUCGGUAU